AGGGUCUCUCUCUCUCUCUCUCUCUGUCUGUCUUUUACAAACCAGAUCUGCAGGAUCCGCAGGUGUUGGAUUUACACCUCAUGUUAUAACAGUCAAAGCUGGAAAGGUAUGCGUUUUUUUUUUCUUUCAAAACUGCAUGGUAUUCUUGUAUCCUUUUAUGAUUACUGUCAAAAUGUGAUUGUGCGCAUGAAAAUGUGAGUUCUGUUCUGUAAUUUUUCAUUGGAAUGUGUUAUCUGGUUUGACAGCCUCCAACAACUGCUUUUAGGAUUUGAUGCGUUGCUAUAGUAAACCAUUAUUUUGUUUUGUUUCUAUGCCCUAUGCCUGAUUAUCGUACUCUGUGUUGAUGUGGUGUAUUUUAAUUAGAUUAUUUUUGGUACCAAAAUUGUUUAAACCUCCCAUUGUUCUUUUAGUUUAAUUUAUCCAUGUUCUGGUUUAGAUAUUAUGAUCAUAAAUGUGUUAAAAUUGAAGAGAUGUUGAGGCAAAUAUUCUAGCUUCAAAGGGUUCUUGGUAGUACUAUUUUGCUGGAAUUCAAUUUCUGAUUUUAGUCGAUUUACAAUUCUUUCUGAAUUUGGAAUUUGGGCUGAAGUUGGGAAAAAGCAGCCCGCUCAAUGCAGGUUCUGUUUUCCAUGCUGACCCAGACAUCAACUGUGAGCAUGUUUCGGAAGCCCCAAAAACCAUGAUUUGGUCAUAUAAUCUGACACAUCAUCAUUUAUGAUUAUGAAAAAGGCCUGCAAUUUCAAUGGCACUAGUUUCUUUGUGGGAUUCUUAUGAUUUGACUUUUAUCAUUUAUUUUUGUAGACUCGGUUCCAGCAUGAUAAGCAAGUUUACAUAUCGUUCUUAGAAAUUCUAAGUAUGCCCGGAAAGGAGUGCAUCUCCAUUAGUGAUGUCUACGAAAAGAUAAUUUAGUGGAUUUCACAGAUAAUCAAGGAUGGAGACUCUAGGGAUCAGCCUUUUUUUUAUAGCAAAGACUCUGGAGCUUAGUCCAGAGGAUGCUGAUCCAAUCUGGUGAAAGGGUGCCCAAGGCAUCCUGUCUUCAAGCAAGGGAUUGAAACAAAGGAUUCAGAGCAUAACUUCCGAUAUGUAUGAUUGAAUGAGAGAUCCAAGGCUUGGUCCAAUUUUUCUUUUCGGAGCAUGCAUAUCUUUUGGUAGCAUCUGGUUCAAAGGAACCAAUCAACACAACCAAUCGAAGAGGUAAGGUGCUAAAAGAUACA